UACAUGCACGUUGCUGUACGAUGUCAACAACUUAGAGGCCAGACUCUGUCGGUAAUUGCUACAAGCGCACUGUUUACUAACCGCUCAACACAGCCAUGAAUAAUAUGAUUAAGAAAUGUCUUGGAGCUGUAGGAAAACCAUUGACAUUGGCGUGUCAGAAAUACGCUAAUCAAUUCUCCAUUGCCACCUUCUUCACUUCGGCUAACAGGUGCCUUUUGUGUGGAGAUCGUCUCAACCCUGAUCGUUCAUGUCAGGACACACCUGUCAACAAGAAUUGCCGGAGUAUGUCAGCAUUCGCAGGAAAACAGCAAGAAUUCUUAUUUAGACAGCUGCUUGACUACAAGUCAUUUACUUACACAUACUUGCUAGCAGACACUACAACUAAUGAGGCGGUUAUAAUCGACCCUGUCAUCGAAAUGGUGGAAAGAGACUGCCAAAUUGUCAAAGACCUCGGCCUCAAUCUGGUUUAUGCAGUGAACACCCAUGUACAUGCAGACCAUAUAACGGGGACAGGGGAGAUCAAGAAACGACUGCCAACAUGUAAGAGCAUGAUAGCACAGAUCAGCAAAGCUGUUGCUGAUAUCAAGCUGAAGGAGGGAGAUGUCAUAAAGUUUGGUUCCCAUCAGUUGGAGGUCCGCAGCACACCCGGACACACUGAUGGAUGCUUGACCUACGUGUGGCAGCAGCAAGGCCUGGCCUUUACAGGAGAUGCUAUACUCGUCAGAGGAUGUGGGCGCACAGACUUCCAGCAAGGUCAUAUUGUCACAUCUCAUGUGGGAUCCAAGCGUGUUGUAUGAUUCAGUACACAACAAGAUCUUUUCACUUCCGGACAAUUUCCGUCUCUUCCCAGCACAUGACUAUACAGGUCAGACAAUGACUACAGUUGCAGAGGAGCGCAAGUACAACCCUCGCCUCACAAAACCUAAGGAACAUUUCAUCAAAAUAAUGGAGGACCUCAAGCUGCCCUACCCUAAACAGAUAG
rnacentral:misc_RNA from 1 species